rnacentral:rRNA from 1 species
GGUGCGCAGGUGGGCUGGUAAGUUCGAUGUGAAAGCCCCGGGCUUAACCCGGGAAUGGCAUUGGAUACUACUGGUCUGGAGGAUCGGAGGGGGGACUGGAAUUCUUGGUGUAGCAGUGAAAUGCGUAGAUAUCAAGAGGAACACCAGUGGCGAAGGCGAGUCCCUGGACGAUACCUGACACUGAGGCACGAAAGCCAAGGGAGCAAACAGGAUUAGAUACCCUGGUAGUCUUGGCUGUAAACGGUGCGCAUUUGCUGUAAACGGAAUCGACCCCGUUUGUGGCGAAGCUAACGCGAUAAAUGCACCGCCUGGGAAGUACGGUCGCAAGAUUAAAACUCAAAGAAAUUGACGGGGGCCUGCACAAGCGGUGGAGUAUGUGGCUUAAUUCGAUGCAACGCGAAGAACCUUACCUGGCCUUGACAUGCAAGUAGUAGAACCAUGAAAGUGGGACGAUCCCGCAAGGGAAGCUUGCACAGGUGCUGCAUGGCUGUCGUCAGCUCGUGUCGUGAGAUGUUGGGUUAAGUCCCGCAACGAGCGCAACCCUUGUGUCCUGUUGCCACUCCUACGAGAGUAGGAAGCACUCUGGACAGACUGCCUCGCUUAAACGAGGAGGAAGGUGGGGAUGACGUCAAGUCAGUAUGGCCCUUACGGCCAGGGCUGCACACGUACUACAAUGCAUGGCACAAAGGGAAGCUAGACCGUCAGGUGGAGCAAAUCCCAUAAA